GCGGAUAUGGUCGAAUGGUAAAAUUUCUCUUUGCCAAGGAGAA
rnacentral:tRNA from 9 species